UGAGAAGUUUGCAGUGACAACAGUGUAAUAUUACAGCUGGUGUUGCGAAACAGAGACAGAGUUCGAUAACGCUUUUGAUUGGUGCUACCAGGCACUGAUCCCACACGCACACGAUCGCACCUACGAUCAUAUAAUAUCGAUUAGAUCGAUUCUUAUCGACACCCGGUAGCAUCCAUAGAAUCGCAUCUCAGCCUGAGUAGAACGAUAAAAUGUGAUAGAUGUCAGUCGCGAAUAAACCUUUAUAUGAAACGGUUGUGACGCCUUAGAUCUCUCCACGUCCGAAUAAAGGCUGGGUGCCUCCCAGAGUCCCAGCAGUGUAACCGUGCAAGUUUUUAGUUCCAGUAUAUAGCACCGAAAAUCCCGACAGUGUGGCCGCUCUGAUCCGGCCCAAGUUUUAGUAAUAAACAGCUGGUUAGAAGAAACCGUCGUUCAUGUUGUUACUGCAGUAUGCAGCCUAAUCAAAAAAGCGCAGUUUUUUUUUUAACCUUUGCAUGUCGUCAGAUUUCGUUUUGUUUUGGAAUAAUGUAAGAAAACAAACCGAAGCCCAAAGUUACAAUGGCGUUCUGGAAAUAUCAACUACUAGAAUUGAUGGUUGUUCUCACCAUUGGAGAGGUAAAUCCUAAGCAGUCACCUCAAAAAGCUUCAGUUUCAGCAAAUGCGUUCACUUACUGGUAUUGAUGGCUGAUGUACCCGCUCCAGGAGGGGGAAAAGCGAUUCCCAAGGAGGUUCUCACAAAGGAGGAACACGUCAAACGAGUGGCGGGUAUUUUUGCUGCAUCGGCUGGUGAUAAACCAACGCAUCCCGAGAUUCUCAGUGGUGUCGUUAAGUCCGACCAAGGCAAAAAGUACAUUUAUACCGUUUCCUACGAUGUGGCGAUGUGUUUCAACGAUGUGGCCAAAGAGUAUGAAGUCUUGGUGUGGGAGCGACCCUGGCUGGCUGAAACGAAGCCCAAUGAGGCGUAUGUUUAUGAGAGUAAAUGCUGAAAAAUAAAACUGCUUUGGUGUUACAGAAGU